CCUACGGGUGGCAGCAGUCGAGAAUCAUUCACAAUGGGGGAAACCCUGAUGGUGCGACGCCGCGUGGGGGAAUGAAGGUCUUCGGAUUGUAAACCCCUGUCAUGUGGGAGCAAAUUAAAAAGAUAGUACCACAAGAGGAAGAGACGGCUAACUCUGUGCCAGCAGCCGCGGUAAUACAGAGGUCUCAAGCGUUGUUCGGAAUCACUGGGCGUAAGGCGUGCGUAGGCUGUUUCGUAAGUCGGUUGUGAAAGGCGCGGGCUCAACCCGCGGACGGCACAUGAUACUGCGAGACUAGAGUAAUGGAGGGGGAACCGGAAUUCUCGGUGUAGCAGUGAAAUGCGUAGAUAUCGCGAGGAACACUCGUGGCGAAGGCGGGUUCCUGGACAUUAACUGACGCUGAGGCACGAAGGCCAGGGGAGCGAAAGGGAUUAGAUACCCUGGUAGUC
rnacentral:rRNA from 1 species